AUGUGGGAUCGAUGUUUCAAUAUUGGAAGAAAUUUGAUCUACGGCGGCUUCAGUUCAAUCAUUGAUCAGCGAUGGAACGACCAUAGAGUAGCACAGGCGCUCUGUAGCCUCCGCUCUGCGUUCACCACUGGGAUCAGCACCACGGACACAGACCUUAUUUUUAUACGAUUCGGUGUUUAUAAUGCCCAUCAGUGGUGUAGACAGAACGGAUUGAAACUUUUUAUGUCCUCAUGAAUCUUGCUCCAAGGACAUAACUUUUCACCAGCUUAAUGUUUUAUUCCAUUUGUGUCAUGAUGGUGCGUGGUUUUACGAUCUCUUUAGCGACAUUUGGUUCUAUUUUAUUUUCUGUGUUUGAUAACAAUAUGAUCAUUCGUUUUUGCUUGUAAAUCAACUUUGUUUGCCACAAUUAGAUUGAUGAAAGUUUUUUUCUUCUUCUGUUCGUCUGCUAAAUAAUCAUCACUUAUUCAAGCCAUAGGCUAUAGGCUACCGUUGGAUAGCCUACUUGAUUGACUGUUUGUUAUUUCUCUUUUAGAUAAUAGCCCAGUCAGAACAAUUUGACGCGUAUUUAUUAUAGUCUGAGUCUACCAAUGACGUUAUCAUGUAAUCUAUUUAGGCUACUGUUCAUUCCGGUGUUGCACGUUAAAACAUAUGUGUAAAAUCAUGAUAGUCUGUUUGGCAGACAGUUUAUAUUGACUUGGUUAUCACAAAGUUGUCAAUGAUCCUGUUUUACAAACUUGUCUAGUAAAUUGACAAAUAGUUUUACAACCUAUUAGGCUACUGACAUACGACUAUAGCGUUUUUUAUGAACCUUUUCAAUUGUUUUUCUGUAAGACUUGACAUCACUAAAAAGCCAGAGUGUUGACGAUGUAAUUCGCUUAUCUGUGCGUCUCGGUACAGAUGUUUAUAGCCCCUUCCUCUCAUCUCGAGCCGCAUUGUGAGCACAAGGCUAUUCGGGCAAGGACUGUUGUAAUUGUAUUCCUCGCUAAUGUUUGUAAAUCAGGCUCGGCCAGCGCAAAAGCACAGUCUCUACUGUAUGAUUGAUGUUCUGUAAUAUGAGAAAUGACUGGAGCAUGGCAAGCCAGGUCCCGCGGAAAAGCCUGCCGAAAAGAAAUCUGAUCUGUUCUGGGUUGUCUUGUGUGGCCGGUUGUUAUUGUGCCCCCCAAUCGCUGGACUACUCAUUUAAUCAGUGAUGCAAAGGGCGAGUUAAGCUACUAUGUAGCUAUAGGCUACGUCGAGAUUCAUUUACGUCUUUUCUCUUACAAAAUAGAAUGUUUUUACAUAAUUCGUUUGCUGCAAUCCUGGCAUUAGUGGCCAAUGCUUAGAAUCAAAUUGCCAACUUCUCAUUUUUUCAGGUUUGAGUCGAAUAAAUCAAUUUGCACAUUACUGUUUUUCUACCUGAAUGAGGCCUGACACCUCAAAAUAGUGUUUCCAACCAAAAUAUCUAAAUAUCUAUCAAGUCUAUGAUUUAACGUAGCGGGAGGCCACUGAUAUUCUGUUUGACAAAGUCAUUCAUGUUCAUAAUGUAACGUUGAAAAUGAUAACAUGAUUAAAUUACUGUUAACUGAAUAAUGCAAUAUUACUCAAAAGAAACAUCUUGAAAAAUCCCAAUAUUGAUGUCAGUCAUAUGUUGGAGUUUAUAUAGUAGGCUAAAGUGAACAUUUAUAGAAUCUAUAGAAAUUACUAUAAAACUUAUAUCUACAUGGCCUUCAGGGCCUACAGCCUGAAUUAAAAAUGUAUUAAAUCAGGGUUUUCUACACACAAUGACAAAGUGAAAACAUGUUUGCAAAUUAAUUGAAAAUGAAAUACAGAAAUAUCUAAUUUACAUAAGUAUUCACACCCCUGAGUCAAUACAUGUUAGAAUCACCUUUAGCACAGAUUACAGCUGUUAGUCUUUCUGGGUAUGUCUCUAAGCCUGGAUUGUGCAAUAUUUGCACAUUAUUCUUUUCAACAUUCUUCAAGCUCUGUCAAAUUGGUUGUUGAUCAUUGCUGGACAACCAUUUUCAAGUGUUGUCAUAGAUUUUCAAGCAGAUUUAUGUCAAAACUGUAACUCAGGAACAUUAAUUGUCUCCAUGGUAAGCAACUCCAGUGUAGAUUUGGCCUUAGGUUAUUGUUUUAGGUUAUUGUCCUGCUGAAAGUGAAUUCAUCUCCCAGUGUGGAAAGCAGACUGAACCAGAUUUUCCUCUAGGAUUUUGCCUGUGCUUAGCUCCAUUCAAUUUAUUUUUUGUCCUUAACUAUUACAAGAAUACCCAUAACAUGACACAGCCAGAUAUUAUGCUUGACAAUAUGGCGAGUGGCACUCAGCAGUGUGCUGUAUUGGAUUUUCCCCAAACAUCACACUUUGUAUUCAGGCAUAUUCAUAAUUGCUUUGUCACAUUAUUUUCAAUAUUACUUUAAUGCCAUGUUGCAGACAGGAUGCAUGUUUAGGAAUAUUUGUAUUCUGUACAGGCUUCAUUAUUUUCGCUCUGUCAAUUAGGUUAGUAUUGUGGAGUAACAACAAUGUUUUUGAUCCAUUCUCAGUUUUCUGAACACCAUUGGCCUCAUAGUAAAAUCCCUUCCCCUCCGGCAACAGAGUUAGGAAGGACACCUGUAUCUGUGUAGUGACUGGGUGUAUUGAUAUACCAUCCAAAGUGUACUUAAUAACUUCACCAUGCUCAAAGGGAUAUUCAGUGUCUGUUUUAUUUUUAAUCUACCAAUCGGAGCCCUUCCUUGCGAGGCAUUGGAAAACCUCCCUGGUCUUUGUGGUUAAAUCUGUGUUUGAAAUUCACUGCUUGACUGAGGGACCUUUUACAGAUAAUUGUAUGUCUGGGGUACAGAGAUAUGAGCUAGUCAUUCAAAAACCAUGUUAAACACUAUUAUUGCAUGAGUGCAUGCAACUUAUUAUGUGGCUUGUUAAGCAAAUGUUUACUCCUGAACUUAUUUAGGCUUUCUAUAAGAAAGUGGUUGAAUACUUAUUGACUCAAGACAUUUCAGAUUUUCAUUUUUAAUGAAUUUGUGUGUGAACUUAAUUUCUGUGGUAGAAUAGUCAGAGAUGGCUGAUUCACCGCGACCCCUAACAAAAAGAGAACAGGUCAAGUGAGCAUUGAGGUGGAGUGACCUUGGUUCCCGCUGGCCGCAGGUCACACGGCCAUUGCCAGUGUAAUCAUUCACCCCAGCCAGAUGGCAUUUCCGUGGGCGACCAUGGAAAGGACGGGUCAGGAGAUGUCCUGCCAGGUCCUGCCGGGCCCAAGCCAAGUCUUAGCCAAUAGCGAGAACGCCCAGUAAUCAGGAUAUCAUUCAGCCAGUAGGGAGCAUUCUCAGACCCAGGUGACAAAAAGGUGAGGUCAGACUACAAGAGGACACAGUUUACGAAGUUAUUACAUUGUAAUAACAUUGUAUAUUGUUUUCACAAUAUAAAGCACACUUUAGCUUUCCAAAAUAUCAUAGAGGAAUCAUCAUGUGUUUAGAAGAUUAUUUUUUAAAGUAAUCAACCUUCAUCAGGUACAUUUUGAAGUGUAACGCAAUGUGUUUUAUCAGAGUUCCAGGUAACCUUGUCCAAAUGUAGACGCCAACUAUAGCUUCAAAUCAUUACUGUGCUCCCAGUUUAUAUAAAAUACAUUUGAGAAUCCCCCUGUUGUCUUAUAGUGAUGGAAUGCUGUGUUCAUUAUAUAUGGUUUAAAAGCAAUGCACUUAUUUGAUGGUAUUUUCCAGACCCACACAUCUCCAUACUCUUCUCUCCAUCAUUCUCUGAGGCAGUGAGUUUAGAUCAGGAACGAAAGGCUGUGAUUGUAUACAUUUAGCAUGACUCAGGCGAUCCCGUGUCAGCUCUAAUCCACAGACAGAGACAACAGUAUUGCCAAACAGUGAAAUUGCUUUUCAGCCUGUGAGCCUGGCUGCCGCUGCUACCAGCCUGCUCUCUCUGUGUGCCGUUUGCCGGCUGCUCCCGCCCCCCUAAACCCAACCCUGCAAUCUCAAAUUGGCUGUGAAAACAGGUCUCUCAUUCCCUUUCAUUCAUGCUUUAAUAGAUUUGUUUCUCGUUAUUGUUUUUGUCACAUAAGGCCCUACCAUCAUUUCAUAAUUUACCGGAAAUGCC
rnacentral:lncRNA from 13 species